rnacentral:rRNA from 1 species
CCUACGGGAGGCAGCAGUGAGGAAUAUUGGGCAAUGGAGGCAACUCUGAUCCAGCCAUGCCGCGUGAGUGAAGAAGUUUUUAGGAUUGUAAAGCUCUUUCGGCUGGGACGAUGAUGACGGUACCAUCUUAAGAAGCCCCGGCUAACUACGUGCCAGCAGCCGCGGUAAUACGGAGGGGGCAAGCUUUGUCCGGAAUUACUGGGUGUAAAGGGAGUGUAGGCGGUUUAGUAAGAUAGUGGUGAAAGCCCAGGGCUUAACGUUGGAACUUCAAUUGUAACUUUGUGAAUAGAAUUACAGAGAGGAGAGCGGAAUACCUGGUGUAGCGGUGAAAUGCGUAGAGAUUAGGGAGAACACCAGUGGCGAAGGCGACUAUCUGGCAGGACAUUGACGCGGAGGCUCGAAAGCGUGGGGAGCAAACAGGAUUAGAUACCCCAGUAGUC